rnacentral:rRNA from 1 species
CGCCCGCAAGGGAGCGGCAGACGGGUGAGUAACACGUGGGAACGUGCCCUUUGGUUCGGAACAACACAGGGAAACUUGUGCUAAUACCGGAUAAGCCCUUACGGGGAAAGAUUUAUCGCCAAAGGAUCGGCCCGCGUCUGAUUAGCUAGUUGGUGGGGUAAUGGCCCACCAAGGCGACGAUCAGUAGCUGGUCUGAGAGGAUGAUCAGCCACAUUGGGACUGAGACACGGCCCAA